GAUAACAGGUCUCUAGAAAAUUUAUUAUUUUUUUUUUACAUUAAAAAUUCGUAGAGACCUGUUUUUUCAGUUAACAGGUCUCUGUAGAAUUUUUACUAAACUGAAAAAACCUUAGUUGUUUUUAACUCUCUGCCUCUUCAUUCACUUUCUCUUUCUUCUCCCUUCCCCCCUUCGCCUCCUCACUUUCUCUUCCAGAUUGUUCCUUUCAUUGUUCUCCAUUUUCCAUCAUCUCCCAUCAACUAGCUACCUCCCACAAUUUUAUCAUUGUAGCUAUCAUCAUCCGAUUCGUCUUCAUUUGAGCAUGCAUUAACAGGAAAUGUUUUAAUUUUGGGUUUAAUAGCCAUUUAUGUACUCCAUUAUAAAUUCCUGGUUUAUCUAUGAUCUAAAUUUUAAUGGAGAUGAUGAUAUGAUGAUGACGAGGAUGAAGACCGAUGAUGAUGAAGAAGAUGAAACACUCCAAUGAAACAAGUGGAUGAUGGUUCAUUUUUAGUGUUAAUUUUUUUUAUAUCAUCACACAUUAAUAGAUUAUAGUACCUAGUACUAUAAAUUAUGUAAUACAUACAAUAAAUUAUCUAAAAUGUAAAUGUUACAUGUAUAAUGUAUAGUUCUUUAAAC